GGACCCGCACAAGUAGUGGAGCAUGUGGUUUAAUUCGAAGAUACGCGCAGAACCUUACCAACACUUGACAUGUUCGUCGCGACUUUAAGAGAUUAAAGUUUUCGGUUCGGCCGGACGAAACACAGGUGCUGCAUGGCUGUCGUCAGCUCGUGUCGUGAGAUGUUGGUUAAGUCCCGCAACGAGCGCAACCCUCACUUUUAGUUGCCAGCAUUAAGUUGGGCACUCUAGCGAGACUGCCGGUGAUAAGCCGGAGGAAGGCGGGGAUGACGUCAAGUCCUCAUGGCCCUUAUGGGCUGGGCUACACACGUGCUACAAUGGCAGUGACAGAGGGACGCUACCUCGCGAGAGGAUGCAAA
rnacentral:rRNA from 1 species